GGGCGCGUAGCUCAAUGGUAGAGCAAUUGCCUCUUAAGCAAUCGGUUGAAGGUUCGAAUCCUUCCGCGCUCA
rnacentral:tRNA from 1 species